rnacentral:misc_RNA from 1 species
GCAGGUCCUUCCCGAGCGAGUGACAGAGCCCCAUACGCUCGAGGACCAGACGGACGUCGCCGCUGCCUUUCGGGCAGGUCCCCGGGGGGACCACACCCAACACACAAGCCGUGCUUGAGGGCAGAAAUGACGCUCGGACAGGCAUGCCCCCCGGAAUGCCAGGGGGCGCAAUGUGCGUUCAAAGAUUCGAUGAUUCACGGAAUUCUGCAAUUCACAUUACUUAUCGCAUUUCGCUGCGUUCUUCAUCGAUGCCGGAACCAAGAGAUCCAUUGUUGAAAGUUUUGACAAUUUUCACAGUACUCAGACAGCCCAUCUUCAUCAGGGUUCACAGAGCGCUUCGGCGGGCGCGGGCCCGGAGACGUGCGUCCCCCGGCGACCAGGUGGCCCCGGUGGGCCCGCCAAAGCAACAGGUGUAUAGAGACAAGGGUGGGAGGUUGGGCCGCGAGGGCCCGCACUCGGUAAUGAUCCUUCCGCAGGUUCACCUAC